GACGAACGCUGGCGGCGUGCUUAACACAUGCAAGUCGAACGGAAAGGCCCUGCUUUUGUGGGGUGCUCGAGUGGCGAACGGGUGAGUAACACGUGAGUAACCUGCCCUUGACUUUGGGAUAACUUCAGGAAACUGGGGCUAAUACCGGAUAGGAGCUCCUGCUGCAUGGUGGGGGUUGGAAAGUUUCGGCGGUUGGGGAUGGACUCGCGGCUUAUCAGCUUGUUGGUGGGGUAGUGGCUUACCAAGGCUUUGACGGGUAGCCGGCCUGAGAGGGUGACCGGCCACAUUGGGACUGAGGUACGGCCCAGACUCCUACGGGAGGCAGCAGUGGGGAAUCUUGCACAAUGGGCGGAAGCCUGAUGCAGCAACGCCGCGUGCGGGAUGACGGCCUUCGGGUUGUAAACCGCUUUCGCCUGUGACGAAGCGUGAGUGACGGUAAUGGGUAAAGAAGCACCGGCUAACUACGUG
rnacentral:rRNA from 1 species